UUUUGUAUCAAGUCAUAAAGGUAUAAAGUUAAAAUAGUGGUAAAAAAUUUAAGUGAAAUCAGAUUAGUAUAAAAAAAAAUUAUACUUAUGUAUAAAGAACAUUAUAGUGAAGUUGUGAAAAAUUUAAAAAUGGUGAUUUAUUCAAAUUCAACUAAAUUUAUAAAAAAGAAACCACGAUGAAUAAGAUUCUGAAUUUAAAUUUGAGCUCGUUAGAAAAAACAACGAAAUUGGAGUCACAAAAUUGCAGUGUCCAUUAGUUGGAGAAUAUACUACAAUUAGAUUGGUAAAAUCAGUGUUAAAAUUAUCGAAAAUGUAGAAAUAGCAAUUAAUAAGGCUAUAAAAAUGGCGAACAAAAGGCAGUAGAAAAUUUAAAUCGCACAUGUAUACGUGCACGUACUUCAACUAAAAAGUAUCUACUCUUAGUUACUCUUAAUUGUUAAAAAAAAAUCUUAAUACACACGUCAGCUACGUCUUAUUUCACAUAUUACGUAAUUACAAAGAAAUUUGGUCACCCGAUAUUCAAAGGAAAAUUUUCACUUUCAUGGAAUGAAGUUCUUGCAGUACAUACAUAUUGUAUAUAGGGUCGAUAUAUAGCUAUCAACAAAAGUAGUCUAGGAAGAUAUUAGAAUCAAAUGAUUGUUUUCGGCAGUACGUACGCAUACAUACCUACUUCUUGUUCGCUCGCUGUUGCAGUACAAUAUUUAAAUAUAAACGUCGUAUAAUGAAAUGGCAAUCACGUAUGGUGGCAUUGAUUUUAAUAGAUUUAACGAGAAGCGAUGUCAAAGUUUUGACAAGAGAUGAAAAAUAACCAACGUCGUAGAUCAUUUAUUUUUAUAUCUAAAUUAUUUAUAUAGAGCAUAAUAAUUUAUAUACAUAAUAUCAAAAUUUACGUUUUAAACGACAAAAUUUUUUUAGUAUAACAUGUUACAAUAUUAGUAUACAGUAAAAAAAAAAAGAUUAUAUAGUUUUCUAAUUUAAAUUUCGUCGUUUCUUUUCUAAUUUAUUGUAUAAAAUGAUGUAAAAAUCACAUAUAACCGCCUUUUAAUUUUCUUAUGUUACUUUAAAACAGUUUCGUUGUUAUAUUUUUUAUUUACUUGUUCUACUAUAAAUAACAAAAAACAAAAAAAAAAAUCUUUUUCAUCAUAGUGUAAAUUAAAUUUUGCUUGUAUUUACUUAAAAAAAAAGAUAUCAAAAAAAAAAAGAUCGAAAAAAAAAGAAAAAACCAGAAUAAGGAAAACAAAAUAAAUCAAAUUUGAAAUAUCAUA